rnacentral:rRNA from 1 species
UACGAAGGGGGCUAGCGUUGCUCGGAAUCACUGGGCGUAAAGGGCGCGUAGGCGGCCAGGCAAGUCGGCUUGUGAAAGCCCGGGGCUCAACCCCGGAGGUGCGGCCGGGACUGCUUGGCUGGAGGCCGGAAGAGGAGGGUGGAAUACCCAGUGUAGAGGUGAAAUUCGUAGAUAUUGGGUGGAACACCGGUGGCGAAAGCGGCUCUCUGGUCCGGACCUGACGCUGAGGCGCGAAGGCGUGGGGAGCAAACAGG